rnacentral:tRNA from 1 species
GUUUUUAUAGUGUAAUUAACAUAUUGUUUUUUCAGGACAAAGAUAUAUUUUAUUAAAAAUA